GACAGAGGGUGCAAACGUUGUUCGGAAUUACUGGGCGUAAAGCGAGUGUAGGCGGUCUGUAAAGUCAGGUGUGAAAGCCCCGGGCUCAACCCGGGAAGUGCACUUGAUACUCACAGGCUAGAGUAUCGGAGAGGUUGGUGGAAUUCUCGGUGUAGAGGUGAAAUUCGUAGAUAUCGAGAGGAACACCGGCGGCGAAGGCGGCCAACUGGACGAAUACUGACGCUGAGACUCGAAAGCGUGGGGAGCAAACAGG
rnacentral:rRNA from 1 species